UACGGAGGGUGCAAGCGUUAUCCGGAUUCACUGGGUUUAAAGGGUGCGUAGGCGGGCAGGUAAGUCCGUGGUGAAAUCUCUGAGCUUAACUCAGAAACUGCCAUGGAUACUAUUUGUCUUGAAUAUUGUGGAGGUAAGCGGAAUAUGUCAUGUAGCGGUGAAAUGCUUAGAUAUGACAUAGAACACCAAUUGCGAAGGCAGCUUACUACACAGUUAUUGACGCUGAGGCACGAAAGCGUGGGGAUCAAAC
rnacentral:rRNA from 1 species